rnacentral:rRNA from 1 species
UACGGAGGGUGCAAGCGUUAAUCGGAAUUACUGGGCGUAAAGCGCACGCAGGCGGUCUGUCAAGUCGGAUGUGAAAUCCCCGGGCUCAACCUGGGAACUGCAUUCGAAACUGGCAGGCUGGAGUCUUGUAGAGGGGGGUAGAAUUCCAGGUGUAGCGGUGAAAUGCGUAGAGAUCUGGAGGAAUACCGGUGGCGAAGGCGGCCCCCUGGACAAAGACUGACGCUCAGGUGCGAAAGCGUGGGGAGCAAACAGGAUUAGAUACCCUGGUAGUCCACGCCGUAAACGAUGUCGAUUUGGAGGUUGUGCCCUUGAGGCGUGGCUUCCGGAGCUAACGCGAUAAGUAGACCGCCUGGGGAGUACGGUCGCAAGACUAAA